UUUAUCUCCUUUGCAAGAAGUGGGAGCAUGGUUCGAGGUUCAAAGCAAGCGAAGGAGGUUGGGGUUUGAGAAGUGAGGAGGGGUACGGUGGGGUUGCUGCGAAUGGGGAUGAGUUUUCUAGCAUUGAAAAUCAAUGUUUGGGUGAUGAAAGGGCUGUUAACCGUGAGGAAGGAAAAUAUGAAUAGUAAAUAUGAUAAAUCAUACUAAAACCAUUAAUAUUGGGUUGGAAUUUAUGAAUGAGAAGAGAAGAAGAUUAGAACUAUAGGGGAGUAUCUGUUUGUGUUUGUGAAAAAUCAUGGUGAAAAAGACAAAGUGAUUGGUGCCUAUGGAGAAUAAUAGAGGAGAAAUGGAAAAUGGAAGAUGAAGAUUGGUUGUGUCUGAUGUUGGAGGGGAGUUGGAACGAUGAUGGUGAAGAGGAAUUUUUGGAAAAAAAAAUGGAGAUGGAAAUCUAAUAGAAUCUUUCUAGUUUUACCAGAUUUUAUUGUUGCAAUUCUUUUUAGAGAUGAAAUAAUUACUUUCUUUUUUUAGUUUUUGGAGAAUAGAAAAGAAGAGAGAGAAACAUAAAGGGAAGAUGAUUUCUAUUUGUGUUGAAUGAGAGAGAAGAGAGAGAAACAUACGAGGACAGAUAAGAAAAUAAAAAGUCAAAUAAUUUAAACUUUCAAGUAAUUUUAAAAUAAUCUAAAUUCACGUCAUUCAGCCACGUC
rnacentral:lncRNA from 1 species